rnacentral:rRNA from 1 species
UCUCCAGACUCCUACGGGAGGCAGCAGUGGGGGAUAUUGCACAAUGGGGGAAACCCUGAUGCAGCGACGCCGCGUGAGUGAGGAAGUAUUUCGGUAUGUAAAGCUCUAUCAGCAGGGAAGAAAAUGACGGUACCUGACUAAGAAGCCCCGGCUAACUACGUGCCAGCAGCCGCGGUAAUACGUAGGGGGCAAGCGUUAUCCGGAUUUACUGGGUGUAAAGGGAGCGUAGGCGGCUGUGUAAGCCAGAAGUGAAAGCCCGGGGCUCAACCCCGGGACUGCUCUUGGAACUGCGUGGCUGGAGUGCAGGAGGGGCAGGCGGAAUUCCUGGUGUAGCGGUGAAAUGCGUAGAUAUUAGGAGGAACACCGGUGGCGAAGGCGGCCUGCUGGACUGUGACUGACGUUGAGGCCCGAAGGCGUGGGGAGCAAACAGGAUUAGAUACCCCGGUAG